CGUGCAGGCGGUACGUUAAGUCCAGGGUGAAAGCUCCCGGCUUAACUGGGAGAGGUCCUUGGAUACUGGCGGACUCGAGGGGGGUAGAGGAGAGUGGAAUUCCUGGUGUAGUGGUGAUAUGCGUAGAUAUCAGGAGGAACACCGGUGGCGAAGGCGGCUCUCUGGGCCCUACCUGACGCUGAGACGCGAAAGCGUGGGGAGCGAACCGGAUUAGAUACCCGGGUAGUCCACGCCGUAAACUAUGGACACUAGGUGUGGGGGGUAUCGACCCCUUCCGUGCCGAAGCUAACGCAAUAAGUGUCCCGCCUGGGGAGUACGGCCGCAAGGCUAAA
rnacentral:rRNA from 1 species